rnacentral:rRNA from 1 species
CCUACGGGAGGCAGCAGUGGGGGAUAUUACACAAUGGAGGAAACUCUGAUGCAGCGACGCCGCGUGAGGGAAGAAGGUCUUCGGAUUGUAAACCUUCGUCCUUGGUGACGAUAAUGACGGUAGCCAAGGAGGAAGCUCCGGCUAACUACGUGCCAGCAGCCGCGGUAAU